UCCCCGUUACCGGGGCACUCAAUCCUUUCGGAUUAAUUCUCGGGAUGUCAAACCCAGGUAAGGUUCUUCGUUUAUCAUCGAAUUAAAGAACACGAUCCACCGCUUGUGCGGGUCCCCGUCAAUUCCUUUAUGUUUUAGUCUUGCGACCGUACUCCACAGGCGGGAUACUUAACGCGUUAGCUUCGCUACUGAAGGGGUCGAUACCUCCAACAGCUAGUAUCCAUCGUUUACGGCGUGGACUAC
rnacentral:misc_RNA from 1 species